UCUUCUUCUUCUUCUUCUUCUUCCUCUUCUUUUUCUUCUUUCUUCCUUCUAUUUUUCUUCUUCUUUUUCUGUGUUUAGGGUUUCUCACGUUUACCCUCCUUCCAUGAUAGACGCUCGCAGCUGAGAAGAAUUUCAAAACCGAGUUGAUUGAAGGUUGUAAACUUUAUAUCUAGGGAUUACCCUCUUUCCAAAUCAGACGCUCGAAUCCGAGGUUUGAAUCUGCAAAAACGAGUUGAUUGGAGGGUUUCUCACGUUUACUCCUGGCGGCUAGAAAGCACUCGGGAACUUAACCGGCGAAAAGAGAGAGAGAGAGAGAGACCUACAGUUUUUUUGCUCUCUGUGUUUUCCGUUUUUUCCUCUCUGAAAUGCUGAUACAUUUGGUGAAGACCAUCGAGAUCAUUUCUUUACUGAGCUUAGAAUUCUGAUUGAUAAAAGGAGUAGCGAUCAUGGCACUCGUGAGGUCAACCAAAAGGCCUAUAGUUGAUGAUCCCAUCACUGUUUGAUCAAGGUGUGGUUUUAGUCUAGGGGUUUGUUGGUUUCAGUCUAGGGGUUUGAUGAUCCCAUCAUUGUUUGAACAAUACUAUUUCUGAUUUUUUUCUUGGUGUGUGGGGUUGGGGGAGACUGCUGUUUAUUGGUUGGGUUUCGUGAUGUUUCUCUUUCGUGCUCUCCUUGGUCGGCGUCCUUCAUUGGGCCUUUGGAGGUGGGGAAAAAAAUCUCAAAGCUUAUUCGAGAUUCAUGCAACCAGACGUCUGGUUCAGAGCAGGGCAGGUGGCAAUCAGAACUUACCCAAGUAGCAAUAGAGUUGAUUGGGGUAAGCAUCAGGAGGCCCUACAUUCAGAUUUCCAACUUUGUGUGUUUAUGUGUAGAAACAAAAUCUGAGCAUCCCCAUGCCUUAAGAAAUUGCUAUCCCAACUUCUUUUUAGGGUAUAAGGCAAUUGCAAUUCACUUUACCCAUUUCUUGAAUUUUGUUAUGGAAAUAUAAGUUUUUGCACUGAAUUAUGUAGUUUCCAUCUUAUAGGCGGGCUAUGAUUUGAGGUGUUGUGGAUAACGUGUCAUAUACAUCUUCCACCCUGAGUUAUGUGAAGAAAAAGUUCUAGUUUCUACAUAUCUUGCAUUGAACAGGAUACAUGUAUGGGUUGAAGGAUGAAUAUCUUGUGCAUGUUUCAUGGUGGGUUGAGAAGAAAAAGGGGAUGGUUCAAUGCACACCUCUCUUGAGAUAAAGUUACUAUCAUGCUUGAUCUAAUCAAUAGAAAAAUUAAAUCUAUCAUGCGAUUAUCAUUAAAGACAAAGGGAUAGUUUACUGUAGGUGAAAUAAAUAAUAUGUGAAAAUAAAUUAUGGAGAGGAGUUUUCUGUCCAGGAGCAUGCCCUACACCAACAGCCCUUGGGUCUACCUCUCUUCUCCUAAAGAGAGGUAGGGAUGUCAAUUCACAGGGAAGAAGAGAGAUAGACAUAGAGGUUUGAAUCGAUUUAUUAUUGGUUUUUCUGUUCAGGAUACAAAUUGAAAUUGAAUUAAAACUGAAUAAUUUUCUUAACAUCAAAACCGAAUCAUAUUGAAUUGAUUCAGUUUUAUUCGGUCCAUGCAUGGUCUCCAUAAUUCAGUUCAAAUUCGAUUUAAGUGGAAAUAACCAGUUGAAACAAAUAAAAAUAGAAAGAAAAUUACAGACCUCAUUAAGAUAGAGUCUCAGAAUGUCAAAUUUGAUAUAUGUCAAAUAUUUAUCGCA